rnacentral:piRNA from 1 species
UGUAGCUAUAAAGCGCCAACGAAAAGGAAA